rnacentral:rRNA from 1 species
ACGCUCGACACCUAUGGAGGCAGCAGUAGGGAAUCUUCCACAAUGGGCGCAAGCCUGAUGGAGCAACACCGCGUGAGUGAAGAAGGGUUUCGGCUCGUAAAGCUCUGUUGUUGGAGAAGAACGUGCGUGAGAGUAACUGUUCACGCAGUGACGGUAUCCAACCAGAAAGUCACGGCUAACUACGUGCCAGCAGCCGCGGUAAUCUGAGCGGCUGGCAAGGC